rnacentral:rRNA from 1 species
GACGAACGCUGGCGGCGUGCUUAACACAUGCAAGUCGAACGGAAAGGCCCUGCUUUUGUGGGGUGCUCGAGUGGCGAACGGGUGAGUAACACGUGAGUAACCUGCCCUUGACUUUGGGAUAACUUCAGGAAACUGGGGCUAAUACCGGAUAGGAGCUCUUGCAGCAUGGUGGGGGUUGGAAAGUUUCGGCGGUUGGGGAUGGACUCGCGGCUUAUCAGCUUGUUGGGGGGGUAGUGGCUUACCAAGGCUUUGACGGGUAGCCGGCCUGAGAGGGUGACCGGCCACAUUGGGACUAAGGUACGGCCCAGACUCCUACGGGAGGCAGCAGUGGGGAAUAUUGCACAGUGGGCGGAAGCCUGAUGCAACAACGCCGCGUGCGGGAUGACGGCCUUCGGGUUGUAAACCGCUUUCGCCUGUGACGAAGCGUGAGUGACGGUAAUGGGUAAAGAAGCACCGGCUAACUACGUG